rnacentral:rRNA from 1 species
UACGGAAGGUCCGGGCGUUAUCCGGAUUUAUUGGGUUUAAAGGGAGCGCAGGCGGGAUGGCAGGUCAGCCGUAAAAUGGCCCUGCUCAACGGGGUCCAGCGGUUGAAACUGCCGUUCUUGGGUGCGGCGGAGGCAUGCGGAACUCGUGGUGUAGCGGUGAAAUGCAUAGAUAUCACGAAGAACCCCGAUUGCGAAGGCAGCGUGCCACUCCGUAACCGACGCUCAUGCUCGAAGGCGCGGGUACCAAACA